GAUGAACGCUGGCGGCGUGCCUAAUACAUGCAAGUCGAGCGAACGGACGAGAAGCUUGCUUCUCUGAUGCUAGCGGCGGACGGGUGAGUAACACGUGGAUAACCUACCUAUAAGACUGGGAUAACUUCGGGAAACCGGAGCUAAUACCGGAUAAUAUUUUGAACCGCAUGGUUCAAAAGUGAAAGACGGUCUUGCUGUCACUUAUAGAUGGAUCCGCGCUGCAUUAGCUAGUUGGUAAGGUAACGGCUUACCAAGGCAACGAUGCAUAGCCGACCUGAGAGGAUGAUCGCCCACAGUGGAGGGGAGACGCGGUCGAGACUCCUACGGGAGGAGGAAGAGGGGAAUCUUCCGCAGGGGGAGGAGGCCUGAGGGGGCAGCGCGGGGGGAAUAAUAAAGGUGUUGGGAUCUUAAAACUUUUUUAUUGGGAAGAAACAUGUGUGAAAGAAAAUGUGCACUUCAGGAGGGUCCCUAACAAAAAGGCCACGGCUACCUCCGGC
rnacentral:rRNA from 1 species